rnacentral:lncRNA from 1 species
UCAAAUUCGUUUACCUACUAUUAUUCUUUUUUAUAUUGUAGGUAUACAAUAUCGUCUUCAAGUGGUAAAAAGGCCGCCAUCCCUGCUUCAAAGAAAAGGAAGGGAGCGUCAUCUUCCUCGGGUCCUACAGUGGAAAUUCGUCACCUUUCUUGCAGUUCCCUAUUGGGCCCCAAGAAGAACUUUUCCAAAUACUCCGGGCCCAACCUUUAGGUGUGGGCCGC